CUCUGCCUAAUUUGCAAAUUUGAAGUUCUCUCUCAAGUUUAGACAUAACUGUUAUAAUUUAAAGCUUGCUCUAGAUCUAAACUUGUGGGAUGAAAACUUGAUGUGAAAUCUAAGUUGUUAACGGAUAUGAUAUGGGAAGGUUUAGCUGCUGUUUAUCUGUUCCUAGAGAUGCUAGAAUUCUAGAGAAUUUUAUCUUUAAAAAAUCUUUAAAAUAUUGCAUGAUGAGUUUCUGUAUGAUGAGAGUUUAAAUUCCUACCACAACCAUAUAUAUACAUGCUUACUAGACUUUGAGCCACACAUUUAUUAUUUACUGCUUAUGAGCAUUGAGUGUGGUCAAGCUAUGUAGACCCUUAGGAGCUUGUCAUGUGGUUAACUCAAGAUUCACUUGCACGUUCACUCAUAUAUGCUACUUCUACUCCGGAAGUACCAUCCACAUAUAUCCAUCCAUAUCCAUCUCCAGAACCACCCAAAAAUAUUCUACUCCUAAUUCGGGAGAGAAUAGCCAAAAAUAUUUCUAUUUUCCCUUGUGAAAUAAAUGCUCAAGUUAUCUUGCUACUACCACUUGCUAUAUUAUCUCAAGAGAUGAGUGCUCUGAAAUAAAAAAGAAAAAAAAUAAUAAACGAGGAAAUAAAAAGGGGCAAGUGCUCGGAACCUCGAAAGAAAAAAAAAGGGUGAGACGAGAGGUAAAAAUGGACAAGUGUCCGACGGUAGAAUUAGGGGUACAAGAUAUCCACCUGAGAGGAAAGAAAAAGAAGAGCAUCUCAUUCUCCUCAUAAAGUUUCAAAAAGCAAGGAAGGUAUGUAUCCCCUCAAAAGAGCAAAAGUAGAAUUAGACUUUCACCAUUGUUAUCACCAUCAUCACCAUACACCAUUCAUUCGCUACACAUGCACAUCUUGAUUUGGCUUAUUGAUUUGUUUCUUUGGACCCAUGGUUUGACUACACAAUAAAUGUCUUGUAAGUAUGUAUAAUUUAUCUCCCACCUAUGAGGUCCAGAUAUUAAAGCCUUAUUAGAGUAGGGUGAGAGAGAAGGCAAUGUCACUAUGCCUUAUACCACAAAUACCACAUAUCUUGAGAGAAGGCAUAUCAUCACUGCCUUGGUAAGGAUCCAGAAAUACCACAAAAGAGAGAUUUAGAGAGUCAUACAAGGAAUCUCUGAGUUUUAUUUGAAAAUCUGCAAAAACUCCAGAGCUAUAGC
rnacentral:lncRNA from 1 species